rnacentral:lncRNA from 10 species
AUGGGGUUUCACCAUGUUGGCCAAGCUGGUCUCGAAUUCUUGACCUCAUGAUCUGCCCACCUCGGCUUCCCAAAGUGCUGGGAUUGCAGGCGUGAGCCACUGUGCCUGGCCGUAACAGCUAAAAUGAAGUACACACUGUGUGCUAGUUACUGUGCCAACAACUUUACAUGAAAGAUCUCAUUUAAUACGCAGAAUAACUUAUUUCAGAAAUGAGGAAACUGAGACUUAUGAUCCUAAUUUAGUAUUAGGAAGUCAGAGAAGACCUGUGUGGGAAAAGUGACACACAGAGAACCAGACAAGUAGGAGAUAACCAGGCAAAGAACAGAGAGAGGCUGUGUAAAGCAGAAGGAAUAACAUGCUCAAAGGCCUGAGGAUGAAUGAAUGAAAGCAUGGAAGGACACCAGUGGCUGAAAUU